rnacentral:rRNA from 1 species
CUACGGGAGGCAGCAGUAAGGAAUAUUGGACAAUGGGCGCAAGCCUGAUCCAGCCAUGCCGCGUGAGUGAUGACGGCCUUAGGGUUGUAAAGCUCUUUCGCCAGGGACGAUAAUGACGGUACCUGGAUAAGAAGCCCCGGCUAACUUCGUGCCAGCAGCCGCGGUAAUACGAAGGGGGCUAGCGUUGUUCGGAAUCACUGGGCGUAAAGCGCACGUAGGCGGAUCUUUAAGUCAGAGGUGAAAUCCCAAGGCUCAACCUUGGAACUGCCUUUGAUACUGGGGAUCUCGAGUUCGGGAGAGGUGAGUGGAACUGCGAGUGUAGAGGUGAAAUUCGUAGAUAUUCGCAAGAACACCGGUGGCGAAGGCGGCCAACUGGUCCGAUACUGACGCUGAGGCGCGAAAGCGUGGGGAGCAAACAGGAUUAGAAACCCCAGUAGUCC